GGUUUCUGGAAUCGGCUUUUAUGCCGUCUACUUGAUCUGAAACUUAAGACGUUUCAUUACACCCCAUAAAAAGAUUGCAAAUAUAUUUAUCGUUAAAUAAAAUGCAAAUUUUAAUCAACGGCAACCGUCAUAAUAUUUGGGUAACCAACCGUUUAAGUCUAUAUAUACUUUACAUUUCUUUUAGAACAGAUCACAUUUUUUCAACUUUCCGUGGACAGAAGAAUAGCUUACACCAGUUGAAUGAAAAUGGCAAUUGUUUGUUUUAAUUCGAACCUCUUUGCCGUGUUUUUCACAAUAUUUUGCUGUGUGAAACUCUCAGAAGCAGCGAGUCCUCCCGUAGUUGUUAUAUACAACCAAACUGUUGCGAACGGACAGACGGUACGGCUAUCCCCAUCCACCACGGAAGUUGAGAUCGAAUGUACAGGUGAAGCUACGGUGAGAAGCCUAACAUUGAGAUGCGACUCCGUGACCAGAACCGUAUAUGACUACAGUGCAUUGUUUACCUUCUCUUAUACGAAAUACUUGAGGAGUGUGGUGUGCGUUUGUACUGCAAGGGACGCUGGUUUCUUCGACGAGAGCACUUCAUUUACUUUGGUUAAUGGUAGUGCAAGUCACAGCGCAUUGAUUUGGAAUGUCCUGUUGGUGACACUUCUGGUCCUGGGUAGGACAGUCCUGGUCUGAUCUACAACCUGAGUCACUCUAGUGCGACGGUGCGUGGAGGUUGUCAGAUUCUUAUCACAGAAAGUAGAAGAAAGAAAGAUGGCUGUAUACCGAUUUCCCUGCCUUUUUUUCUGGUUAAAAGUUAAUAAAAUGAAUAGCACUUUAAAAAAAUGAAAAUAAUGUUUCGGCAAAGAUUAACAGUAAAGUAUUAAUGUUUUUAAAUAUCUUAUUGUUAUGUUAAGCUUAACUUGUAGUUCUUACCGUUAGAUUAAACAGAACAGUUGUUUUAGUAAAUAAAAUAAUGUGAACUAUCACUUUUGUACAUAAGCCACAUUCACACAUUUUAUAGUUUUGUAUUUCCAUUUAUCUACUAUUUUGUGUUUUUCAUACUAAAUUAACAUAAUUUUAUUUUGUAACUAAAACUUUUUGAAUGGGAUAAUGUUUAGUAUAAUGUUACAUGUAUGAUUUAUAUUGAAUAUGUUCACGUUUUCAUGUUACUGUAUGUCCGUUAGAGUUUUUCAUAAUUUAUAUAAACAAUAAUAAAGUAAUUGACCAUUUAAAAUAAAAUUA